AAGGGCACCACAAGAACGCGUGGAGCAUGUGGCUUAAUUUGACUCAACGCGGGAAAUCUUACCAGGUCCGGACAUAUUGAGGAUUGACAGGCGAUAGUAAUAUUAUUUUAUAUAAUAUUGCAUAAAAAUGAUAGUCCUUUCAUGAUUAUAUGAUAGGUGGUGCAUGGCCGUUCUUAGUUCGUGGAGUGAUUUGUCUGCUUAAUUGCGUUUCAGUUAAAAAAAUGUAUGUCAAUUAUAAUACUGUUCUGCCAAUAUAAUUCAUUUUAUUUUGGAUUUGUGAACGUAUAUUGAUCGUUAUACUAUAUAAAUGAAUGCAACGAACGUGACCG
rnacentral:rRNA from 1 species